GAUUCUGCUCCCCAAACUUUUGGAAACAUCAGGAAAAUACGGGUGCCCCCUUGGGAGAAAGAAGGCACUGAGGACCCCACAGACCACAGCGCCUCCGCGCACGGACCCCGGAGACCGAGGCCCGACUGUCCUGCGGGCCCUCCCGCGGGCCCCGCACCGUCUGGGGCACGCGGGGCUGCGGGCGCACAGCGGCCCAGAGACGCUCCGGCCCAAGUCGCCGCGCGCAGGGACCACAGAACGCCCGGGGCCCGGCGGCCGGCCCCGCCCCUACGCUGCGGCCGCCGGAGGGGCCUGAGGGCCGAGCGGCGCCACCGCGGACUCGGGGCCGCAGAGCCCGCAGGGGACCGCGGGAGGCCGGGCCCGCCCCGCCGCUUCCCACCAGCCCCUCCUGCCGUGUCCUUCCCUCGGGGCCGGACACCAUUUCUAGGGCUCCUGGGUCCCUUGAGUCCUUUCUACGACCCCCACGGCCAGGGCAGGUCACAGCGUGACAUAGGCUGCGGCAGAGCCACCAGGGACCCUUUAGGUCAGGCAUCACCCAAACCCAAGCCUAGCGGAGGUGACAAGGGAUAUCUACGCCAGUGCAGUGCACCGUCCCACCCACCUGCCUCAGCGGAGCCUGGAUUGGACAGUUCCCAAAAGGCCACACCCCCUGAAACCAGAGUGGCAGGAGAGCAGGAAGACACCCGGCUCAGCCGAAUGAGCUUCUGCCAGUGGCCCCUAACCUGUCCCCACUUGGGUCAUUUACAUUUAAACAGAAUGUUUUCCAGGCCUGGGACCACACUGUUGUUUACCCCACCGCUUUAUGACGCGUGGUUAACAGGUCUGCACAUGCACUUCCUGAUUCAGUUUCAAGAGCAAGUACAGAGUGGACCAGGCUGGGUGACACGGGAACAAGAGGAUCUUAUGUCCUCUAAGGGUCAAGGGCUUGGUGUAAGGCUGCGAGGCCACUCAUGUCAGCCUGAUCCUUGUUUAGAAACACAGACACUUAAACGUGAUGUCACCAUCUGUGAUAAAGGGUCAGGUUCCAUUUUGAUCUUCCUUCUUGCCAGUGUUCAGCCUUCCACCCAUCCCUGCUCCACCCCGACUCGUUCCAUCUUAAGAUAA
rnacentral:lncRNA from 1 species